rnacentral:rRNA from 1 species
UAGAGCUAAUACAUGCGAAAAGUCCCGACUUCUGGAAGGGAUGUAUUUAUUAGACUAAAAACCAAUACGCCUGCAAAGGCGUUGACGCGAUGAUUCAUGAUAACUUGUCGAAUCGCACGGUUUUACACCGGCGAUGUUUCAUUCAAAUUUCUGCCCUAUCAACUGUCGAUGGUAAGGUAGUGGCUUACCAUGGUUGCAACGGGUGACGGAGAAUUAGGGUUCGAUUCCGGAGAGGGAGCCUGAGAAACGGCUACCACAUCCAAGGAAGGCAGCAGGCGCGCAAAUUACCCAAUCCCGACACGGGGAGGUAGUGACAAGAAAUAACAAUACGGGGCUCUAGUAGUCUCGUAAUUGGAAUGAGUACAAUUUAAAUCCUUUAACGAGGAUCAAUUGGAGGGCAAGUCUGGUGCCAGCAGCCGCGGUAAUUCCAGCUCCAAUAGCGUAUAUUAAAGUUGUUGCAGUUAAAAAGCUCGUAGUUGGAUUUCGGGACGGGCCAGUCGGUCCGCUGAAAGGUGUGUUACUGACUGGUCUGUUCUUCUUCGCAGAGACUGCGUAUGCUCUUAAUUGAGUGUGCGUAGAAUUUGCGACGUUUAC